UACUGUUGUUCCAUUUUCCCAUUCUCUCUGGACCCCCUUUUAAAAAAAUAUAUUAUUACUCAGAGAAAUCAGUAUAUGCCACCAAAAAAUGGUGGCGCUAACCUCAGUGAUAUCAAUUCACUGCCACAACAACAAUAAUGGCGCCUUUUCAUUUCCUCCUGUUACUGCAUGUCUACGUCUUUCUUCAUUUUCUUCAAUAUCUUCUUCCACUCGUUCUUCUUCUAUCUCUCAAUCAUCAUCAAACAUCUCCUCUCAAUUUCGUUCAAAGAUAAUAAACCCUAAAUCUAAGGGAUUUGGAGUGAGAUGUUUGGCAAGUAACGAGCCGUUGAAGGUGAUGAUAUCUGGAGCACCAGCAUCAGGCAAAGGAACUCAGGGUGAAUUGAUCGUUCAGAAGUAUGGAUUGGUGCACAUAUCAACUGGAGAUUUACUAAGAGCUGAAGUAUCAUCCGGGACUGAAAUUGGAAAUAAAGCUAAAGAAUACAUGGACAAUGGAUGUCUGGUUCCUGAUGAAAUCGUCACAGCGAUGGUGACAUCAAGAUUAUCCAGAGAAGAUGCAAAGACGAAUGGGUGGCUACUUGAUGGAUACCCACGAAGUGCUGAGCAGGCUCAAAGUCUUGAAAAGCUCUUGAUUAGACCAGACAUAUACGUUUUCUUAGAUGUUCCUGAUGAAAUUCUAAUCGACAGAUGCGUUGGGAGACGGUUGGAUCCAGUGACUGGGAAAAUUUACCACAUUAAAAACUUCCCUCCGGAAACAGAUGAAAUUAAGGCCAGGAUUAUCACUCGUGCCGAUGACACUCAUGAAAAGGCUAAAGCACGCGUAGAAACAUACAAGCGAAAUGCUGAAUCUAUCACUUCAACAUACUCGGACAUACUGAAUAAGAUUGAUGGAAAUCGUCAGAAAGUAGUAGUUUUUCAGGAAAUAGACUCUGUGCUUUCACAAGUCAAGAAGGACAAGUUAAAGAUGAUAGCCGCAGGAAAAGCAGUAAGCGACGUUCAGAUAAAGGCGUCGUCCACAAAACAGGAUAACUGGAGAGGUAUUCCUACCCGGUUAAAUAACAUCCCUCAUUCUAGAGAAAUAAGGGAAUAUUUCUACGAUGAUGUUCUGCAAGCUACUCAAAGGGCUAUAGCUGAUGGGAAAACUCGUUUGAAGGUGGCGAUCACUAUUCCAGAACUAAACCCCGAAAUGGAUGUCUAUCGAAUUGGUACUUUAAUGGAACUCGUUCGAGUUCUUGCUCUUUCAUUUGCUGAUGAUGGGAAGCGUGUGAAGGUCUGUGUUCAAGGAUCUAUGGGAGUAGGUGCGCUUGCUGGGAUGCCACUGCAGCUAGCCGGAACACGUCAGAUUUUGGAGUACAUGGAUUGGGGGGAGGAUGGGGCCCUGGGAAAUUUCAUCACAAUCGGUUCGAUAGGUGGCAAAGAGGUUACUGAGCAGGAUGACAUAUUUAUUCUUGUGGCUCCCCAAAAUGCUGUCGGAAAUUGUAUAAUUGAUGAUUUGAGGGCUAUGACCGAUGCUGCCGGGAGCCGUCCUGUCAUUAUUGUCAACCCUCGGCUCAAGGAUUUACCAGCUUCAAGUGGCAUUAUGCAAACAAUGGGAAGGGAUAAAAGACUGGAGUAUGCAGCAUCUUUUGAAAAUUGCUAUGCCUUUCGGCUCCUUUUUUAUGCCGGGACACAGUAUCCAAUCAUGGGUGCUCUGAGGAUGGCUUACCCAUACCGCUACGAAGUCUACAAGAGGGUGGAUGAAUCCCCUGGUAAAGAGAAGUACUUUUUCCUGGCGACAUUCUUGAAUAAACCAGGGGUUGAUGAAAUUAAUGAUGCAUUUGAAGGAAAGCCUAGAAACCGAGAAAAGGAAUCCUCAGGAAUUUGGGGUUUCUUGAGCAGUGUCCUUGGAGUGUAAUCGAAACUGUACAUACGAUUCCAGGCCUAGCGUGGAGGAGGCUUGAUAAACCUGCAUUCUUAACAAGUUGGAAUGUGAAAGACGCAUCCAGUGAAAUUUUCCGUUUUUUUUUCUUCCAUAAGAAAGAAAAUCUCAGCUCCCCUCUUAGGCGUUGCAUCAUAGAUAAUUAUUCUGAUACACACUCAAUUCUAAGGGCUGUGGCACUCAGUGCAGAGCAGGAUUGAGACAUUUUGUUCAAGUUAACCUCACAUUUUGUUUAAGCUAUUUCCCCUCACCCUGUGGCACUAGUGGUGGAAAUUCCCCACUGCUUCCUCUCCCAUAGAAGUGUAGGCGGUGUCUCACCCAAUUCAUGUCCGUGGUCUAGUUGGAUAAUUUUUUUAGUCUAGUCAAAUAAGUUACUAUACAUCAAUCUACCAAUUAUUGGUUUGGUGUCCCUCUCAGAGAUGGAUUUUAGUCCUCGAUAGAAACAAUGCAAAACCAAAUUCAUAAGCAUUUAAGUAAGGAUUAGGUUCAUUAACAAUUAAAGUGUUGGGUUUUCUGAAUUCGAGGAAAAUAAUUAAAUUUAGCAAUAAACGUAUGGCCAAUGCAAAUAUGCUCAUGUUGUGUGCAAAAUUGCGAUAUUGACUUUCAAGGCAAAGUGUUUGCAGUUUGCACUUUGCAAGGAAAGAGGGAAUUGAUUCUACAAGUUGAAGUCUUUUUCUUUCUUUCUUUUCCUACCUUGCAUUUUAUCACUUGGAGGAAAAGAUAGUGCCGAAAUUGUAAGAUGAUGUAAUUCUAACGUUGUCAA